UAACAUGCAACGAAGGAGAGCGCAUUUUACAGGCAAGCUAAAGAGAGUCGGCGGAUGGUGCAAGCCGAUGCUUCAGAGAAGAUGCUACUAGCUCCAGAGCACCGCUUUUGAAAUAGCAGUAGGAAGCGGCGGAUGGUACCGUUAAAGACCGGGACAUAGAGAAUGUCCGUUAAAGAGAGGCUUUCACAGGCAAUUAGGGUGGUACCGCGAGCAUAUUCGUCCCUGAA
rnacentral:ncRNA from 1 species